ACGUAGGUGGCAAGCGUUGUCCGGAUUUACUGGGCGUAAAGAGCGCGCAGGCGGUCGUUCAAGUCGCGUGUGAAAGCCCCCGGCUCAACUGGGGAGGGUCACGCGAUACUGAUCGACUCGAAGGCAGGAGAGGGUAGUGGAAUUCCCGGUGUAGUGGUGAAAUGCGUAGAUAUCGGGAGGAACACCAGUGGCGAAGGCGACUACCUGGCCUGUUCUUGACGCUGAGGCGCGAAAGCUAGGGGAGCAAACGG
rnacentral:rRNA from 1 species